rnacentral:rRNA from 1 species
GACGAACGCUGGCGGCAUGCCUAACACAUGCAAGUCGAACGAUCAGUUCGGGGAUAGUGGCGCACGGGUGCGUAACGCGUGGGAACAUGCCCUUGGGUUCGGCCUAACUCAGAGAAAUUUGAGCUAAUACCGGAUAAUAUCUUCGGACCAAAGAUAUAUCGCCUUUGGAUGGGCCCGCGUUGGAUUAGCUAGUUGUUGGGGUAAAGGCCUACCACGGCGACGAUCCAUAGCUGGUCUGAGAGGAGGAUCAGCCACACUGGGACUGGGACGCGGCCCAGACUCCUACGGGAGGCAGCAGUGGGGAAUAUUGGACAGCGGGCGAAAUGCUGAUCCACCACUGCCGGGUGAGUGAUGUAGGCAUUAUGGUUGUAAAGCUCUUUUAACCGGGCUGAUAAUGACAGUACCGGGAGAAUAAGCCCCGGCUAACUCCGUG